AGGGUAAAAAACCAAAAUACAAAUUUGGAGUUUACUGUGAAGCAUGCAUGAAUUGCUUAACUGAAUCCGUAAUUAAUACAGUUUUUAAAAAAGAUACUGGAAAUUCCAUCUUCUAUAACUGCUAAACUGCAAGAGGAGAAUGGGGAACUGACAGAAUGGCCACAGCAAGACAACUGGGCACCCUUGAACCUCCUUUCCCUUUCUCUUCAGACUCUUUUUGUUUUGUCACAGCUGCACGCUUGCAGCUUUUCCUGUGAGCAGCAACACUGACAUGGAUUGGGACAUACUUGCUUUCAUUAAACGCUGUUUGCUCUGCCCUUGCAAUGACCCUGAACACGAAAAGCUGGUCUCCACUGACUCCUGUGAGUACAGACAUGAGCUUUGCAGAUCUCCUGAUAUAUUGGCUCCUGCAAGAAUGCCAGUGGCAGCUGGGAAGAAAAUGGCAAACACCGAAAAAAAUCCUUCUCCACUUCUGAAGUCUGGUCCAAAGUUUUCUGCAAAUAUUGAUGCUGCAAAUAUAAGUGACAAUGAAAUAUAACAACAGGAUUUGAUUCCAAAAUUACUUAAUGAAGACCAUGAAUAAGUCAGUCUUUCACAUCUGGACAACUGGGUUUGAAGCUGUCUCACAUCACAAGCAAACAACAGAGAUGCCGAGAAGACACACUACAGUGAUGGUCCCUAUGAUCCUGAUGUCGUUGGACUCAUCUACCAUCAGCGUAUCGCUCUCCUGAAAGGGGUCUGUAUAAGAAAUCCAAAUGGUCAUUCCUUUUGGUCAGCUGCCAUUACAGGAAAGGAUAUUGUUCAACCAUGGAAAUUUUGCAUCUGAGAAGUGUCUGGAUAUGACUUUAAGAGCUGUUAGCUCUUGAACUGAAAUGGUUUAGUCUUCACUCUCCUGGGGCUAAAGAUGAUGAGCUCAUCAAAUCUCCAG